rnacentral:piRNA from 1 species
UUAAAACCGUGAUCCCAUGUUGUGCUGCC